CCUACGGGUGGCUGCAGUGGGGAAUAUUGGACAAUGGGGGGAACCCUGAUCCAGCCAUGCCGCGUGUGUGAAGAAGGCCCUCGGGUUGUAAAGCACUUUCAGUGAGGAAGAACGCCUGGUGGUUAAUACCCAUCAGGAAAGACAUCACUCACAGAAGAAGCACCGGCUAACUCCGUGCCAGCUGCCGCGGUAAUACGGAGGGUGCGAGCGUUAAUCGGAAUUACUGGGCGUAAAGCGCGCGUAGGUGGCUUGAUAAGCCGGUUGUGAAAGCCCCGGGCUCAACCUGGGAACGGCAUCCGGAACUGUCAAGCUAGAGUGCAGGAGAGGAAGGUAGAAUUCCCGGUGUAGCGGUGAAAUGCGUAGAGAUCGGGAGGAAUACCAGUGGCGAAGGCGGCCUUCUGGACUGACACUGACACUGAGGUGCGAAAGCGUGGGUAGCAAACAGGAUUAGAUACCCCGGUAGUC
rnacentral:rRNA from 1 species